rnacentral:siRNA from 1 species
AGGAGUUCGAGGAUGUGUUUCAAU